AUUGAACGCUGGCGGCAGGCCUAACACAUGCAAGUCGAGCGAGAGGCGGAAGGGAGAGUAAUGUAUGGGGAUCGGCCCGAGAGAGGGGGAUAAAUACUGGAAACGUUAGCUAAUACCGCAUACUAUCGGAUGAACCGAGAUGUGUUUAGCUUGUAGGUGGGGUAAAGGUUCACCUAGGCGACUAUCCCUAGCUGGUCUGAGAGGAUGAUCAGCCACACUGGAACUGAGACACGGUCCAGACUCCUACGGGAGGCAGCAGUGGGGAAUAUUGCACAAUGGGCGAAAGCCGGAUGCAGCCAGGCAGCGUGUAUGAAGAAGGCCUUAGGGUUGUAAAGUACUUGCAGCGGGGAGGCGUUACCCGCAGAAGAAGCACCGGCUAACUCCGUGCCAGCAGCCGCGGUAAUAC
rnacentral:rRNA from 1 species